AAGGGUAAAAUCAAGUUGCUGUUUAUGUAUUGUGUAUCUCAAUUGAAGCUAGUAAAAUUUAGUUAUAAACUAGGAUUAGAUACCCUAUUAUUCUAAAAAGAAACCUGAUGAAAUUAAAUUAGUAAAAGAUAUUUACUUUAAAAUUAAAAAAUUUGGCGGUGAUUUAAUCUUUUCAGAGGAAUUUGUUUCUUAAUCGAUAAACCACGGAGAAUCUUACUUGAGUUUGUAUACCAUCAUUAUCAGGUAAUUCCUAAAGGAUGAAAAUUACUAAAUAUAAAUGAUUAUAGAAAUUAGAUCAUGGUGCAGCUAAUAGGCAAGUUGAAAUGAAUUACAAUAAAUUGUUUUAUAAUGGAUUAAUAAUUAUAAAGGAGGAUUUGAUUGUAUGGAAGUUUAAUAAGCUUACAGGAUAUAAGCUCUAAAUCAUGUACAUAUCGCCCGUCGCUUUC
rnacentral:rRNA from 1 species